UGGAAUCCAUGAUGUCAACAAUACUGUCCAUAUUGUGGAGCAGCUAAGACUUUCCAAAGAUACUGAAGCUGCCCUGGUGUUCUGCUCUCUCCUUGUCUGGUCCAGCUCCAGCUCACGGCCGUUCCAAUGUGCAGGUGUUUGAACUGCAUGAACUGCACCUAACUCCACUUAGGUGUGGAUUUUCGUCUCUCUGCCUGCUCUGAGACAGCAAGAACAACCCUUCUUCUUCUCCCUACUCCUCCUCAUCCCACUCAACAUGAAGACAAUGAGGAUGAAGACUUUCGUGAUGAUCCACUUCCACUUAAUUAGUACCAUUACUUGCAAGAGCAACAAGCACUGGACUGUAUACUGUCUUAGGAGGGCAGUGGUGUCUUCCUCCGUUCCACUCUCACGCAACACCCACGCUGCCCUGAGCCACACGUGGGGAGCAGGCUUUCAGGCUUUUGUUGAGGCAGAGUAAUAUGAGGCUGUAACUGAAGGACUUUUUGGCAUAAGUAGGAACUUUCUAUUAAAAGUAAUGUCUCAAAUAGAA